rnacentral:lncRNA from 1 species
CCAAGGUCUAGCACAUCGCCUUUUCUGUCAGCUGGGAGCUGGGACACAGCUGGCCUGGCCCUUCCCCAUCAUUAGCAAUUGUCAUGUAUUCAGUAGUUCCUUUAUUGUCAAAUACCUCCUGAGUGCCUUGCUAGUGUUCUAGGCUAGAGAUAGUGUGACCAAGUGGAACAAUGUCUCUUGCCUAACAGUGCUUACCUUCUAUAGAAAGAAAGGCACACAAUGGGCAUGUAAACAAAAGAGACGAUUUUUAGAUAACAUAUAAAUGCUGUGAAGAAAAGAAUGAAGAUAAUGAGACAGAGUGACAAGAACUCUGGAAGGAGAUAAUAUUGAGCAGAGGCCAUGGAACAGUGGAGCAGAGGUGAAGGGAACCCAGGACCAAGGGCUGAAGCCAUGGCUGGCCAAGCUGGCUGCAGGACAAGCAGCUGGGAAGAGAAAGCCCACCUACGUACUGAAAAUACAACUGACAUUGGUAACAGAACUGAGCGAGGCAUUGUGCAGAUUGUUUUAAGUGCAUUAUCUCAAUAAUCAACAUAACAACUCCAGAAAGUUACUGGAUCUUGCUGUGACUGAUACUACUACAGAAGAGGAGGAACAAAUGUUCUCAAUUUCCUUCUGUAUAAAGAGUUUGCACCACAAGACUUGUCCCUGCCAUUUGCCAUUCCUGUAUCACUAUCCUCCAAAGACUCCUGUGGAGCAAUGCAACCAUCCUAUGUUCAAAGUGACUUCUUUGGGUCAAGGUCCCCGAGCACACAGCAGGCCUUCAGAAAAGAAGAAAGAUGAUUUCUCUUCUCUAACACCACACCUUGUGGAUAGCCAGUAAGUGGCUGCAAACUAUUCACUACGAAGUGAUCUUUUGAUGUUACAUAGGAAUAAUUUUUAAAAUCCCUUCUCUUGGAGGACCCAGUGAUUAAUUUCUUUUCACUCUUCUUUGCCCAUUAAGGACCUUUCCCCUGAACCAUCCAGAACAAUAAAGGAAUAACUGGCACCAACCAGAUCAAGAGCCAUUAUAAUAUAAGGCUUGAUUGAAUUUUUG